UCACAGCGGAGAGAAGAAACAGUGCAGAAAAAUCCGCCUGGAGAGAGUGACUGUUGGAAAAUUCUCACUGACUUCUUAGUUCUUAUUUAUCUUCGUGACAGUGGGUCCGGAGAAGGAGAUGACAGGGAGGGAGAGCGGCGUGGUGCGUUGGCUCUGCGUGUUAAGGAGAGGCUGUGAUCAUCGCCGGCUGCAGAGAGACAACAGUGACGGGAAGUGACGAUGAGGCCCGAGACGAGAGCCGCGAUGGUAAUGCGUGUCACAUCGAUGAGGCCUCUCAAAGAGAAGUCAGGAAUGAGAUCAGCUACUUCCUACUUCCUGUCUCCCGGUGUCUUAGCUGGGGGCUCUGAUUUCCAAUUUUUCACUGCCAUCAUUUAUUUGGUCUUCUUCUCCCUCUUUAGUCGUCUUUUCAGCCUCUCUAAUCUGCCUCUCUUUCUGCUGGACUAUUCUUUCCUCUGCCCCUCGUUCGACAGUGGACACUAUUCAUCUCUCACUCCUGGCUAUGUCUCUUUAAUUUCUUAUUCUUUUCCAACUCUGUACAAUUCACAGCUAUGCUCCAACCUUUUUCUUGCAAAGGAAAAGAAGACUGCUUCCUGUCAUAGUCUGGAUGUGCCUUUUCUCCGGUGUCCACCUCUGGCCGAAGCUGCCAUUGUCUCACCUGGGCAGCUCACCUGGAAGUUAUCCGUGGCAAUCAGCAAAGGGGUAUUUAUGAACAGCAUCACCGUCCCUUCGCCGCUGGUCCAUCAACUCACUUAUGUUGGUAACAGGCUCACUCUUUUUGCUCAAGAUCCAUGUCCUUAUAUUACUUACCUUGCUUCCUAUAUCCUCUAGCUCCGUGGACUCACACACAGCACCACGCCGCAACAGAACUCACCUUUUGGAUACUGGUCACAAACCUCACCAGAUUCGCGCUAUGCUCCAGGAAGAAAACACCCACCACACUCACCUGCUUGCCCUCCUGACACCGCAACUUACCAGGACUCCUGAAAUUCAGGUCAGCCUGUUGUUAAUGCUAUCAGCCUGCCACUCAAACCUCUGCCUCCCCCUCCAAGCCUAUGACUCCACCUGCAAAAUGGGACCUCACGACUGCCACGCCACCAGUCUCCCCUUGAGUUACCUCCCUCAGGCUACCACGCUAGAAUCCCUACCAUGUCAAAUAUUGUGUGUUAGUGCCACGCGAGAUUUCCAGGUUAUGCUUCCCACGUCAAGUAUAACUCUGUGUUUUGUGUUAAAGUUUGUGUUAAGUUAACUGUACCACCUCUGCACGUCAGUCUUGCACUUGAGUCCAGUUAUGUACAGGCUUUUGGCCCCACGUGAUAUUUUCACUAUCGUAUAACUAACCACUAAAGGAAAAAAAGGAGUCAGGGGAUUAAACCAAGAACCACCCGACUCCACAGCUACAGCCACCACCGCCAACAUUCAGUUGGAGUGUGGUUUGUCAGCUAGAAUUGGUGCUAAGAAUCCAGCUUGUUUCCUCUGAUCCAUAACUACUUCACUUAGACUUUGAAAAAGACCACAGCACCACUGAGUUUACACAAGACUAAUGUCACAGACAGAGAUGCUAUACAAAGUCAGCCUGCAACAUGUAGCCUGAAUUUAUUCAUUUAUUUUCUCUGUGUGUAAUGCACUGCAUGCAAAUGGGGAAAGUUCUUAUUU